UCCACGCAGGUGUGCUGGCCAUUGCCUUCAUCAGUGGAGAAACCUGCAGAGUUUUUCUGCAGAGCGGGUCUCCGUGAACCACACUCUCUCCCACUGCGUGUCUGCUAAUAGUUAGCAGCUAGUCUCUGCGUUUCUUCCUGGUUCGUAGCCGGCUGUAUUAACCUCUCAAUUUGGCCGGUGGGGUGGGGGUGAAACUGAAGCAGAACCUUCCUGCAGUGUCCCAAGAACCCAAGGAAGCUGUCAUUCACCCCACUCUUAGGGAAGGGCAUCAGGGACUUUUCCAAUGAGUCGACUGUUCGCAUCAGACGACCAAAAUAGUGGAACUUCAGCUUCAGCAUCAGUCCUUCCAAUACUGUAUUUUUUACAUAUUGAAGGUUUGUGGCAACCCUGCAUGGAGCAAGUCUAUUGGCAUCCUUUUUCCAACAGCAUUAUUUUUUUUUAACAGCAUUAUUUUUAAUGAAGAAUAAUGAUGAAGGAUCAAGGUAAAUGGAUGAAGAUACUGAAGUUCACUGGGAUGAAGGGGGGCAGUUUAAACUCAAAAGAUGAUCUUGGAAGAAUUCUUUCUUUAAUUUGUUUAUUUAUAUAUUUCGACUAUUCUGGGUCUUCAUUGCUACACACAGGCUUUCUCUAGUUGCAGCAAGCAGAGGCUACUCUUGUUUGCCAUGUGCAGGCUUCUCAUUGCAGUGGCUUCUCUUCUUAUGGAGCACAUCAGCUUCAGUAGUUGUGGCAUGCAGGCUUAGUUGCUCUACAGCAUUGAACUUAUGUCUCUGCAAUGGCCGGUGGGUUCUUAACCACUGGACCCCCAGAGAAGUCCUUGGAAGAGAAUUCUGCUUUCAAACCCAGAAGUUUAAUUAGUGAUGAUAUCUAAGAGCAAAAUUGGGUUAUGAUGUUAAACAGUUAACAAUCGAGUGAGA